UACGUAGGUGGCAAGCGUUGUUCGGAAUUACUGGGCGUAAAGGGCGCGUAGGCGGUCCGAUAAGUCCCGUGUGAAAUCCCUCGGCUCAACUGAGGAAUGGCACGGGAAACUGCCGGGCUUGAGUUCGGGAGAGGGAAGCGGAAUUCCGGGUGUAGCGGUGAAAUGCGUAGAUAUCCGGAGGAACACCGGUGGCGAAGGCGGCUUCCUGGACCGACACUGACGCUGAGGCGCGAAAGCUAGGGGAGCAAACGGG
rnacentral:rRNA from 1 species